GAUGAACGCUGGCGGCGUGCCUAAUACAUGCAAGUCGAGCGAACGGACGAGAAGCUUGCUUCUCUGAUGUUAGCGGCGGACGGGUGAGUAACACGUGGAUAACCUACCUAUAAGACUGGGAUAACUUCGGGAAACCGGAGCUAAUACCGGAUAAUAUUUUGAACCGCAUGGUUCAAAAGUGAAAGACGGUCUUGCUGUCACUUAUAGAUGGAUCCGCGCUGCAUUAGCUAGUUGGUAAGGUAACGGCUUACCAAGGCAACGAUGCAUAGCCGACCUGAGAGGGUGAUCGGCCACACUGGAACUGAGACACGGUCCAGACUCCUACGGGAGGCAGCAGUAGGGAAUCUUCCGCAAUGGGCGAAAGCCUGACGGAGCAACGCCGCGUGAGUGAUGAAGGCCUUCGGAUCGUAAAGCUCUGUUAUUAGGGAAGAACAUAUGUGUAAGUAACUGUGCACAUCUUGACGGUACCUAAUCAGAAAGCCACGGCUAACUACGUG
rnacentral:rRNA from 1 species